GAAAAUAUGACUUUUAUAAUAACUCCUAUUUAAUUGUAAAAUAAUGAAAAAAUAAAAUGGACAGUCAUCCAGCUCUUACUCUAAUAGGAGAAAAUUUGACAAUGGCAAAACCCAUCUCCCCUUGUCAAUUAAUUGUCAUUACUAAUGCAACUCAAUCAUUAUUUCAACUGAAAUGUUUAGGCCAUCAACUGAGCGGACAAACAAAGAUGGGGAUACAUCAGAUUGUCUGUUCUUUGUGCUUGAGAUGUGAAUGUCUUAACAACAAAACUCCAUGCCUGCCUUAGCCCUAAAUUAGAUCUCCUCAUAAACAUUUUCAUCUUGAAGAGGUGAUGAUGAAUUCCUUGUACAAAGAGAGCCUGUAUUUACCGUUCCAUCUACCAUAAUCGACCGAACCAUCUUCUCUAUUUCUUCGUGAAGAUGAGGAUUGUCUCUCAAGUACUGUAAUGCUCUGUCCCUUCCUUGUCCCAAUCUAUGUUCCCCAUAGCUAUACCAAGACCCCUUCUUUACCACAACAUCCAUCAUUUCAGCACAAUCCAAAAUGCAACCCAGUUUACUCACUCCCUCCCCAAAUAUAAUUUCAAACUCAGCUUGCUUGUAUGGCCUUGAUACCUUACUCUUUUGCACUCUUACACGAACCCGAAGCCCUAUAUCUUCGUCUCCUUUAACAGACUUGAUCUUCCCAGUAGGCCGUAUUUCAAGACGUACUGAGGCAAAGAAUUUUAAAGCAAUUCCUCCACUUGUGACUUCUGGAUUCCCAUAAUAUACACCAAUCUUAUAUCUUAUUUGAUUAAGGAAAAUGAGAGUACAACCAGCUUUUGAAGCAUUUCCUGACAUUUUACGCAGUGCUUGGCUCAUAAGGCGUGCUUGCAAGCCCAUUUGCUGCAUCCCAAUCUCACCUUCAAUCUCUGCUCGUGGAGUAAGAGCUGAUACAGAAUCAAUACAGAUAAGAUCUACAGCACCAGACCUACACAUACGAUCUGCAAUUUCAAGUGCCAUCUCGCCAUUAUCAGGUUGGCAGACGAUCAAAUUUUCUACAUCCACCCCUAAAGCUUUUGAAUAUGCUGGAUCAAAAGCAUGUUCCGCAUCAACAAGCAUUGCAUUGCCACCAAGCUUCUGCACAUUUAGUACACAAAAUUUGCAUCUAGCUCCUUGAAAGACGUGAGCAUCUGUAAGGGUAAUUGUACUUAUAUUCUCUUACCUUACAACUUAAUUUCAUUUUGGUAACAUAACUUCAACUGCCACAAGUAGAUCAGGUAACUUUAAUUUUGUUCCAAUCAAUUUUGGUACUUCCACCUGAUUCCUGGCAAUUUCCCACCAGAAUGUUGAUGACAUGGAACACUUCUUUGAUUAAAAAACCAAAAUUAAUUAUUUAUAAGCUAUCAAAUAUGAAUAUGUAAAGGAAUUUUCCAAAGAAGUGAUCCAUGUCAGCUUUCAGGUGGAUUUUGCUCAAAAUCAAGCAAGAGUAUCAAAAUUGAAAUAAAAUUAAUUAUGUAACAAUAUGAAAUUAAGUGGCAAUAAAAUUAAUCCACUUCUACAACAAUCAUCUUCUAAUAUAACAGAAACCAAAAAUAAGAACAAAAACACAGAUAAUGAACCUGAACUUCUGCAAUUGCAUGGAGAGCCAGGGUGGUCUUGCCACUACUUUCUGGUCCAAAUAUCUCAACAAUUCUCCCUUUGGGAAGGCCGCCACCUAAAGCAAAAUCCAGUGUCAAACAGCCACUGGGGAAAGUCUCACUGCAAGAAAUAUGUCAAAACUAGAUGUUUAACUAAAAUUCUAUGCUACAAGGAGGUGACAUAGUGAAUAGGUCAACUAAUAGGCAAACCUGAUGGGGAUGUUCCAUUUUGUUUCACAGUUCCAUUAUCAAGGGUGGAAAAUUGGCCCUAGGGCUGACCAAUAAAGAAAAAGAGUAGAGAGAGUGUUAUGGUACAAGAAGAAGACUUACACCAGUGCCCCACCAGCACUGCCCAAUCUCGUAACGCUUCCUUUCCCAAAUGAGUUGUUUAUGUCAUUCAUUGCUGCUUCCAAUGCUUUUUGCCGGUCGAGAAAGCGAGAGUCCAUAUCAGGAGAAAGAGAGCCAUUAUUGAGUUUGGCUUCAAAUUCGCAGCGAAUCUUGUGAGAUUGUUUUCUAACAGCGGCAACUUUUGAAGCUUUGAAAUUGAAACGAAGGGCAGAAGAAGAUUGGGAAUGCAGAGGAGGAGGAGGAGAUAGGAGAAAAGGGUAUAUCUUGGAGUUUACUUUUAGAGUAAAGACUAAAGAAUCCAUCAAAAUCGUACUGUAUGGUGAUUGUUAUAGUUAAUAGCGUAGGGGAAGAAAAAGAAGAAGAACUGAAGAAGAAGAGGAAGAGAAUCCA
rnacentral:misc_RNA from 1 species